rnacentral:misc_RNA from 1 species
AAGUCGUAACAAGGUUUCCGUAGGUGAACCUGCGGAAGGAUCAUUAUAGUAUUUGCCAGCGCUUCGGUGCGCGGCGAUUCCUACACGCUUGUGUAAGCUUUUGAAUUUGCUUUGGGCUGUGCGGGGCGAGUUAGCGAGCGUUAGCGAGCUAGUGAGCCUGGCGAGCCUGGCGUGUCUAGGCACCCAGCCCAGAGAUUUUAAACACAGAGAUUUAUUCUUUCUAACCACAGUCAUAACCAGAAUACAAAUAUUCAAAACUUUCAACAACGGAUCUCUUGGUUCUC